rfam:Oryza glumipatula chromosome 2, whole genome shotgun sequence.
AAAAAGGCAAACCAUGAGUUUCCGUGCAAACGUUUGACUGUCCGUCUUAUAAAAAAAUUAUAAUUAGUAUUUUUAUUGUUGUUAGAUGAUAAAACAUGAUUAAUACUUUAUGCGUGACUUAUCUUUUUUUUUCAUUUUUUUUCAAAUAAGACGACGGUCAAACGUUGGACACGGAAAACAGAGUUUGUCUUUUUU